rnacentral:rRNA from 1 species
CCUACGGGCGGCAGCAGUGAGGAAUAUUGGUCAAUGGACGAGAGUCUGAACCAGCCAAGUAGCGUGAAGGAUGACUGCCCUCUGGGUUGUAAACUUCUUUUAUAUGGGAAUAAAACGUUCCACGUGUGGGAUUUUGUAUGUACCAUAUGAAUAAGGAUCGGCUAACUCCGUGCCAGCAGCCGCGGUAAUACGGUGGGUCCGAGCGUUAUCCGGAUUUGUUGGGUUUAAAGGGAGCGUAGGUGGGUUGUUAAGUCAGUUGUGAAAGUUGGGGGCUCAACCGGAGAAUUGCAGUUGAAACUGGCAGUCUUGAGUACAGUAGAGGUGGGCGGAAUUCGUGGUGUAGCGGUGAAAUGCGUAGAUAUCACGAAGAACUCCGAUUGCGAAGGCAGUUCACUGGACUGCAACUGACACUGAGGCGCGAAAGUGUGGGUAUCAAACAGGAUUAGAUACCCCUGUAGUC